rnacentral:miRNA from 10 species
UUUGGGAGGCAGAGGCAGGAGGAUCACUUGAGCCCAGGAGUUUGAGACCAGCCUGGGCAACAAAGUGAGACCUUGUCUCUACUAAAA